GUCCACGCCCUAAACCAUGUCAACUAGUUGUUGGGGGAUUACUUCCCUUAGUAACGUAGCUAACGCGUGAAGUUGACCGCCUGGGGAGUACGGUCGCAAGAUUAAAACUCAAAGGAAUUGACGGGGGCCCGCACAAGCGGUGGAUGAUGUGGAUUAAUUCGAUGCAACGCGAAAAACCUUACCUACCCUUGACAUGCCAGGAAGACCGCAGAGAUGUGGUUGUGCUCGAAAGAGAACCUGGACACAGGUGCUGCAUGGCUGUCGU
rnacentral:rRNA from 1 species